GCGAGAAACCUUUGCAAUGUGCGAAAGCACGACAAGGUUAAUCCGAGUGUCUCCUGCUAAAGGAGUCUUUUGCCAGUCCUAGAAACACUGGCGAAUAAGGGGUGGGCAAGUUCUGGUGUCAGCCGCCGCGGUAAUACCAGCACCUCGAGUGGUCAGGAGGUUUAUUGGGCCUAAAGCAUCCGUAGCCGGCCGUCUAAGUUUUCGGUUAAAUCUAUGCGCUUAACGUAUAGGCCGCCGAAAAUACUGGACAGCUAGGGAGUGGGAGAGGUACACGGUACUCAAUAGGAAGGGGUAAAAUCCUUUGAUCUAUUGAUGACCACCUGUGGCGAAGGCGGUGUACCAGAACACGUUCGACGGUGAGGGAUGAAAGCUGGGGGAGCAAACCGGAUUAGAUACCCGGGUAGUCCCAGCUGUAAACGAUGCAGACUCGGUGAUGCAUUGGCUUGUGGCCAAUGCAGUGCCGCAGGGAAGCCGUUAAGUCUGCCGCCUGGGAAGUACGUACGCAAGUAUGAAACUUAAAGGAAUUGGCGGGGGAGCACCACAAGGGGUGAAGCCUGCGGUUCAAUUGGAGUCAACGCCAGAAACCUUACCCGGGGCGACAGCAGAAUGAAGGUCAAGCUGAAGACUUUACCAGACAAGCU
rnacentral:rRNA from 1 species